rnacentral:sRNA from 1 species
GGGGGAGGGAGGGGGGGGAGGACGGAUGGCCGCUGUUCCUCCCUCCGGUGCUGAAGUCAGCCCCACCCCAGGACGAAGGGAGGGGUGUCCCUCCAGGCGGGAGAGGCCCCCUGGAGGCUCCCAGGAAGCCCCACCCCCGCCCUGGCGCAAUCCGGCCGCCCGGGGCGCUGUCCGCCCCGUCGAGUGCUGAAACUCCCUGCUCUGCGGGUCUCGGGAUGGAGAGCCCAACCGGGCCCCGCAACGGGGAGGCAGGGGAGAGGCAGGGAGAACUUUCUUUCUUUCUCUCUUUAGUGAGUUCUCAUCUCUUCCCACCCCAAGAUAGUCAAGAUUUUGGGUGGGAGCAUAGCGAUGGCAUUGGGCUUGCUUUUUCUAAAUCUUAAAAGAUUUUGGGCUGAGUGGGGAUCGUGGCGUCUACCAGAUGCCCACCUGUCGGAGGCCACCAGGCAACCCUGUCCUGGGGCGACCCCACACCUCACUGCACCAGGACCUGAGGUCGCUCCCGAGACCAGGCUUCCAUCCUGGGCCAAGGGCCUUCAAGUCUCCAGGAACCUCUGGAUUUUUGGUGCUGGCUUGGUGACGACUGAGACAACUCAAGGACCAGGCAGCUACCAGAUUCCCAGCCUCACAGUGAAAUUUCAGAAACAUUAUUUGAGGGGCCCAUGAGAUGGCUCAGCAAUGCUUGUCCCCAAACCUGACAGCCAUUCUCCUGCCUCAGCCUCCUGACUAGCUGGAUGACAGGCCUCAACCACCAGGCCUGGUUAUAGGUGGUUUCCUGGAAAGCAUCCUUGGGUCAAGCCACUUUCCCACCCUGGUCUGAAGGGGCUGCCUUUGCUGUCUGCUGCACCCACAAGGUCGCUGCCUGCCCUUCCGGUCUGAGCAGCAUGGGGUUCUACUCGCUGAGUUCACGAGGCCUGCUCUCUCUGCUCUUCUGCCUUAAAGUGAGCUUGUCCACUCUCCUCUUUCAGUCCUGAAGAGAGCGUCAUGCAACCCCGAGCAAACCAUCAUCUCUUCUUCCCAAGCUCUGGGUGAGAGCGCCCAUCUGCCCAGGGAAACCUUGAAAACUGCAAUCUCUGGGAAGAAUCCUGGCUUGAAAGCACACACACACAUUCACACACACUCACACACACUCACACACACAGACAUACACACU